rnacentral:rRNA from 1 species
CGAACGUGGGGAACCUGCCCAUAGUCUGGGAUACCACUUGGAAACAGGUGCUAAUACCGGAUAAGAAAGCAGAUCGCAUGAUCAGCUUUUAAAAGGCGGCGUAAGCUGUCGCUAUGGGAUGGCCCCGCGGUGCAUUAGCUAGUUGGUAAGGUAAAGGCUUACCAAGGCGAUGAUGCAUAGCCGAGUUGAGAGACUGAUCGGCCACAUUGGGACUGAGACACGGCCCAAACUCCUACGGGAGGCAGCAGCC